rnacentral:lncRNA from 1 species
GGAUUUUUCUUUGAAAGAGGAGAGAAGUGCGGUAUUUUCCUUCAGUGGUGUCAAAGCGCAGGCCCGAAUGGUUUUGCCUUCUAUUUUUUCCAAAAGUUUUGGGAUCUCAUUGAAGAUGAUAUCAUGGUUAUGAAGGAAGAGUUUCACAAAGAUAUCUUGGCCUUGACAGCUUGAACAUUGCUUACAUUACUCUUAUUCCAAAAAAGAGGGAUUGCUCUGGAGUUGGGAUCUUCAUCCGAUUAGCCUCCUUAAUUGUCUAUAUAAGAUUACCGUGA